UACGUAGGGCGCAAGCGUUAUCCGGAAUUAUUGGGCGUAAAGGGCGCGUAGGCGGCGAUUCAAGUGACGGGUGAAAUCCCUCGGCUUAACCGAGGAACUGCCUGUCAGACUGGAUUGCUUGAGGCCGGGAGAGGCGAGUGGAAUUCCCAGUGUAGCGGUGAAAUGCGUAGAUAUUGGGAGGAACACCAGUGGCGAAGGCGGCUCGCUGGACCGGUUCUGACGCUGAGGCGCGAAAGCGUGGGGAGCAAACAGG
rnacentral:rRNA from 1 species